AGCUAAAAACCGCCCUAUGGUGAUGGGCGAGGUGAAGAUUCUGAAGCGUGGUGAAGCGUUGACCAAGCCGAUGCCUUUGAAGGACGAUAACAAAAAGGUGAAUGGUGGAGUAGUUGAAGAUCUGGUGUUGUCAACCACAGAUCGGCUUGGUCCAGAGCCGAAUAUGGUGCCGAAGCAGAUAAGGAUCGGUGAUUUUUAUGCUGGAUCGGCUUUUGUAACCUCGCCGCCUUCGAGCUCUUUGCAUGUGCCGGCUUUCUUCAACAAGAAGAAAAGUGAGAGUACCGACGAUGCUACUAGUGACUUGAGGCGUCUUCUCAGGCUCAAUUUGUGAUGAACGGUGGGAGUAGUUGAACAAUGAAACUUGAGCUUUGUUUGUUGCAGUUAUGGUGAUGAUCCUGGGAAGGUAAAGUGAUGAUGGUGUUGAUGGUCAAUAUGGUCAAAUAACUGGGGUCGGGACGGGUUAUAAAUUUGGGUCGGGCGGGUUUAAACAAUUGACUGGGUGGGCUAAUAAGGAUCGGUGAUUUUUAUGCUGGAUCGGCUUUUGUAACCUCGCCUCCUCCGAGCUCUUUGCCUGUGCCGGCUUUCUUCAGCAAGAAGAGAAGUGAGAGUACCGACGAUGCUACUAGUGACUUGAGGCGUCUUCUCAGGCUCGAUCUGUCAUGAACUGUGGGAGUAGUUGAACAAUGAAACUUGAGCUUUGUUUGUUGCUGUUAUGGUGAUGAUUCUGGGAUGGUGAAGUGAUUGUGGUGUUGAUGGUGAUGGGGGUUUAAGUCUUUGAAUAAGAAGUUUGUGUUUUGCUCCCGGCUCGCCAAAACUUCCCUUAUUUUUUCAAGGGGAAGGACGAGUUUGCGAAGCAAUUUGUCAAAUUUCCUUGUUUAAGU
rnacentral:lncRNA from 1 species